rnacentral:rRNA from 1 species
GACGAACGCUGGCGGCGUGCUUAACACAUGCAAGUCGAACGAGGUUCAAUCAAUCGCAAGAACGAGGACGACCUAGUGGCGAACGGGUGCGUAACACGUGAGGAACCUAUCCCAGUCUCU